rnacentral:rRNA from 1 species
CCUACGGGUGGCAGCAGUGAGGAAUAUUGGUCAAUGGACGAGAGUCUGAACCAGCCAAGUAGCGUGAAGGAUGACUGCCCUAUGGGUUGUAAACUUCUUUUAUAUGGGAAUAAAACGUUCCACGUGUGGGAUUUUGUAUGUACCAUAUGAAUAAGGAUCGGCUAACUCCGUGCCAGCAGCCGCGGUAAUACGGAGGAUCCGAGCGUUAUCCGGAUUUAUUGGGUUUAAAGGGAGCGUAGGUGGAUUGUUAAGUCAGUUGUGAAAGUUUGCGGCUCAACCGUAGAAUUGCAGUUGAAACUGGCAGUCUUGAGUACAGUAGAGGUGGGCGGAAUUCGUGGUGUAGCGGUGAAAUGCUUAGAUAUCACGAAGAACUCCGAUUGCGAAGGCAGUUCACUGGACUGCAACUGACACUGAGGCUCGAAAGUGUGGGUAUCAAACAGGAUUAGAUACCCCUGUAGUC